rnacentral:rRNA from 1 species
UACGAAGGGGGCUAGCGUUGUCGGAAUUACUGGGCGUAAAGCGCGCGCAGGCGGCCAUUCAAGUCAGGGGUGAAAGCCCAGAGCUCAACUCUGGAACUGCCCUUGAAACUGCAUGGCUUGAGUACGAGAGAGGUGAGUGGAAUUCCCAGUGUAGAGGUGAAAUUCGUAGAUAUUGGGAAGAACACCGGUGGCGAAGGCGGCUCACUGGCUCGUUACUGACGCUCAGGCGCGACAGCGUGGGGACUCAAACAGG